GGGUGAUUAGUGACAGAGUGAGGAAGGGGGUGACACAAUGACAGAGUGAGGGAGGGGGUGACUAGUGACAGAGUGAAGGAGGUGGUGACUGUCACUAGUCACCCCAUUCCUCCCUCUGUCACUAAUCACAACCUUCCUCACUCUGUCACUUGUCACCUCCUCCCUCUCUCUGUCACUAGUCACACCCUCCCUCACUCUGUCACUAGUCACCCUCUCCCUCUCUCUGUCACUAGUCACACC
rnacentral:sRNA from 1 species